UGAUAUAGGAGGAGUCUGCGGCACAUUAGCUAGUAGGUGAGGUAAGAGCUCACCUAGGCGACGAUGUGUAGCCGGUCUGAGAGGAUGAACGGCCACAAUGGAACUGAGACACGGUCCAUACUCCUACGGGAGGCAGCAGUGGGGAAUAUUGCACAAUGGGGGAAACCCUGAUGCAGCAACGCCGCGUGAGUGAAGAAGGUUUUCGGAUUGUAAAGCUCUGUUAGCAGGGAAGAGGAAGGACGGUACCUGCAGAGGAAGCCACGGCUAACUACGUGCCAGCAGCCGCGGUAAUACGUAGGUGGCAAGCGUUGUUCGGAAUAACUGGGCGUAAAGGAUGCGUAGGCGGUUGAGUAAGUUAUGUGUUAAAUAUAUAGGCUUAACCUGUAGAAAGCACAUAAAACUGUUUAACUAGAGUGCAGGAGAGGUAAGUGGAAUUCCUAGUGUAGCGGUGAAAUGCGUAGAGAUUAGGAAGAACACCAGUGGCGAAGGCGACUUACUGGACUGUAACUGACGCUGAGGCAUGAGAGCAUGGGGAGCAAACAGGAUUAGAUACCCUGGUAGUCCAUGCUGUAAACGAUGGGUACUAGGUGUGGGUUGUGAAUAACAAUCCGUGCCGUCGCAAACGCAAUAA
rnacentral:rRNA from 1 species